rnacentral:ncRNA from 2 species
AUCUUAUCCAGAGAGGUGGAGGGAAAGGCCCUUUGAAACCUCGGCAACAGGCUCAAUCGUUUUUGAAAACUGUGCCAAUUCCUGCAACGUGAAGUUGUAAAGAUGAGAC